UCAUUGAAACUGAGAGAAAAUGCCUUAAUGGAGAAGACAAAAGCGGAAUUACAAUGGUUAGAGCAGCAAAGACAACGAAUCCGAAAUAAAGGUGCCGAUGAUUCAUACCCUCAGAUCAAGAAACGACAGAGAGGCCUCAAGAUGAAGUUACAAGAACAACAAGAAGAGAUUCACAGAAUGAGAGAAGAGAGUAAAGCAGCAGCAAAAUAGCUAGUUUUGAGGAAAUGUUUUUUAGCAAGUUUUGAGAAAAUGUUUUUUAUUUUUUAAAUUAUUAUUUAUACAUAAAUAAGUAAUUUUAAUAAAAUAAUAAAUUAUGGUCAGCUAUUUCACUGUGGUGCCUAAACUUAAACACUGGCUAGGCAAAAUGUUUAAAGUCACUUGAUUAGAAUUCUUGUUUACUCACCACUGUGGUUUCAAGUUUAACAAUUAACUGUAAAAGUCUUCAUGUAAGAAAGCUAUCUAGCUAACAUGAUAAAGUUGUCUUAGGAUGCCUGGUUCUGCAAGAAGCUUGUCUGAGGGUGCCUGCCUCACUGUGCAUGAUAUAAAGCAAAUAGGAGCACCUUAGGUCUUCCUCCAACAUUAAUGCUAAAAAGUCUUCAUAUAUAAAACUUUUUCAAUUGAAAAUCAACCAAAGACUUACAAUGUUACCUGUUCAAUAAGAUAUUUCUUGAAAUAUAAAGUUGAUUGUAGUUUUAUUGGUAUCUAAUAUAUAACUUUGUUUGUUACAGAGUAAGUCAAAGUCUGUAGCUGCACCAAGAGGCACAUUGUAGGGGUUGGAUGCCCAAAAGAAGUUCACACUGAGGCAGAAGUUAGCUCGGUGAACAAAGAUAAUCUGAACAUGUAUAUUCCAAGGUUGUUAGAGGCGCCUCUUCUCAUCUGUUUUAGUGAUGACAGCUGGCCAGUUGGAGAUGGUUAUCUAUACCAGCAUUGUGUCCACUGUUUUUCAACAAUCAACAAGAUAAUAAACCAUCAGUGCGACAGGGGGCGGCCCUUGCUCUCCCAAGAGCAUAAGAUCAAAUAAAAGUUCCGAGAUCUGAUCUGAAGAAGUUUGCAGAGGUGUUUUAUGCUGUACCCCAUGAGGAGAAAGUAAUAAACUCUAUAAUUUCCAGUGCCGUAGAUGAAUUCUGGGAACAAAGACAGUAUGGCGAGCCAUUAACCGAUCUCCACCCUUCAGAAGCAUUUUAUACACAUGAAGAGAUUGACUCAGAUUUGUUAAGUAACAGUAGACGUGUGUUCAAGACAAUAUUUGAUUUAUUUUGAGAAAGUAUUAGAAACAUUUAUAAAGAGGAAGAAUAUGAUUCUCCUGUUGCUUGGCACAAACCGAAACGAAAAACUAACAAAUUUUAUAAAGGUGUUUCCCCUCCGAUUACUAUAGAUGUGCUAAAACCUGUGGUUCAGGAAGCAGUUAUUGACAUAUUAGGUUUAAAAGGGGCCAAAAAAUUGUCGGAAAAGACUAAAUGGGGUAUUCGUAAAAAGAAGGAUCUUGUUGACAAAAUUUUGGUGCAAGAAUUGCGUGAAGAAGAGCCUGAGUGGGUUAAUUAUGAUGAUGAUGAAUUAGCAGUGAAAAUGCAACUAACUGAAACAAUAUUUAAUGAUUUAUUGACAGAUACUGUUCAGACAAUGAACAAAAUCUUUCGCAAGAAGCAAAGUUUGCAGCAGCAGACAUAGGCAGCUAUUUGAUCUGAAUUAUGUAAAAGCUUUUGUGAUCUGAUUUCAUGCAGAUGCUUCUUUCUGAUCUGAUUGAUGCAGAUGCUUAUUCAUCUGCAGUUACAGCUAAAUGAGUGAUCUGAGUAGAAUUAAGAGCUUGCACAUGAAUUUUAUAUUCUGGGGUUUGAAUUGAGAACAGAGAAUCAUGAAGUAGAGCUAAAAUGGCAUUAUGGUCUAGAGAAUUUGUUUCAUAACCUUUUUGCAUUUGAAAUAUAAGGGAUUUUAUUUAUUUUUUUCUACUCUAUUAAAAUAAUACACUCAUCCUUUAAUUAGAUGAUAUUGCUCAUGUAUCAGUGUUAGUUUAUUUUGACAAUUUAGAUAUAUUUAUUGUUUGAAUAAUGAUAAAAGACUUCACGAAGGUCUAACAGUACCUGUAGCAUGAAGGUCAAAGCCUGAAGUCCAGUCUGUAAAGGAUGCAAGAUAUAUAAACUUUAAGAAAUUGUGAUACCCUUGCAUUUUCAUACUCUUGUUGGUAACUUUUGAAAGUCGUUGAUUUCAUUGAAAAUGAAAGUGCUCAUUUUGAACAUUGAGGAAAGAUAGUAUUUUAUUAACUAGUUGCAGGGAUUUUUUUUCAUAGAUCUGUGAUAUUUGUUUUGUAUUGAUAUACUGUGAAAUUAAGAUUGUUUGUUUAAGCCAUUAACUGUCCAGUCUUGUCUUAAACUAAUGGAAUAUUGGACAUGCUCACUUGUGACAAUUAAUGCACAGAAGGGCAGCUGAGGGUCUACUUUAAAUUGCCAAGUAUAUACAGUAAACAGAUAAAUUACCAUGAUUAGAAAAGAUAGAAUAAUGAAAUACCUGAGAUACAUUGUUAAAUGUAGCUUACAGUUCACACAUGCAAUUCUAAAAAUUUAAUGCUAAAAACAUGAUUAAAGGGGUUUUUUUUGCAUUACAAAUUUUUCUGAUUUUACUGUAUUACUUGUUUUUUGGAAGCAGUUUUG